GGAAACUACGUGGCAGCGGGCGAGGGGAUAAUGGGGGUGCGAGGGGUCAUGGGAGUUACUGGGCGUAAAGCGGGCGUAGGCGGCUGAUUAAGUCGGAUGUGAAAUCACUGAGAAUAACUUAGGAAUUGCAUUCGAUACUGGUCAGCUAGAGUAUGGGAGAGGAUGGUAGAAUUCCAGGUGUAGCGGUGAAAUGCGUAGAGAUCUGGAGGAAUACCGAUGACGAAGGCAGCCAUCUGGCCUAAUACUGACGCUGAGGUACGAAAGCAUGGGGAGCAAACAGGAUUAGAUACCCCGGUAGUC
rnacentral:rRNA from 1 species